rnacentral:rRNA from 1 species
UACGGGGGGGGCAAGCGUUGUUCGGAAUUACUGGGCGUAAAGGGUUCGUAGGUGGCUCGCUAAGCCAGACGUGAAAUCCCUCAGCUUAACUGGGGAACUGCGUCUGGGACUGGAGAGCUGGAGUGCAGGAGAGGAACGCGGAAUUCCAGGUGUAGCGGUGAAAUGCGUAGAUAUCUGGAGGAACACCGGUGGCGAAGGCGGGUCUCUGGGCAGUAACUGACGCUGAGAAGCGAAAGCGUGGGGAGCGAACAGG